rnacentral:rRNA from 1 species
AACGAACGCUGGCGGCGUGGAUAAGACAUGCAAGUCGAACGGGACAAGUAGCAAUAUUUGUCUAGUGGCGAACGGGUGCGUAACACGUGGGCAACAUGCCUGGAAGAGCGGGAUAGCCCGGGGAAACUCGGAUUAAUACCGCAUGUGACAACGGGGCGGAUCGCCCUGUUUUCAAAGGUGGGGACCGCAAGGCCUGCCGCUUCCAGAUUGGCCCGCGUCCUAUCAGCUAGUUGGCGGGGUAACGGCCCACCAAGGCGACGACGGGUAGCUGGUCUGAGAGGACGACCAGCCACACUGGAACUGAGACACGGUCCAGACACCUACGGGUGGCAGCAGUCGAGAAUCUUUCACAAUGGGGGAAACCCUGAUGGAGCGACGCCGCAUGGAGGAUGACGGUCUUCGGAUUGUAAACUCCUGUCAUGAAAGAACAAGCGGAGCGGGUGAACAGCCCGCCGAGUUGAUAGUAUUUCAAGAGGAAGGGACGGCUAACUUCGUGCCAGCAGCCGCGGUAAAAC